GAUGAACGCUAGCGGCAGGCUUAAUACAUGCAAGUCGUGGGGCAGCAGGUUUGUAGCAAUACAGAUGCUGGCGACCGGCAAACGGGUGCGGAACACGUACAGAACCUUCCUUUGAGCGGGGAAUAGCCCAGAGAAAUUUGGAUUAAUACCCCAUAGUAUAAUGAAGUGGCAUCACUUUAUUAUUAAAGAUUUAUCACUCGAAGAUGGCUGUGCGGCUGAUUAGGUAGUUGGCGGGGUAAAGGCCCACCAAGCCUGCGAUCAGUAACUGGUGUGAGAGCACGACCAGUCACACGGGCACUGAGACACGGGCCCGACUCCUACGGGAGGCAGCAGUAAGGAAUAUUGGUCAAUGGAGGCAACUCUGAACCAGCCAUGCCGCGUGGAGGAUGAAGGUCCUCUGGAUUGUAAACUUCUUUUAUAUGGGACGAAAAAAGGCUUUUCUAAGUCGUCUGACGGUACCAUAUGAAUAAGCACCGGCUAACUCCGUGCCAGCAGCCGCGGU
rnacentral:rRNA from 1 species